ensembl:misc_RNA Y_RNA Y RNA
GGCUGGUCCGAGUGCAGUGGUGUUUACAACUAAUUGAUCACAACCAGUUACAGAUUUCUUUGUUCCUUCUCCACUCCCACUGCUUCACUUGACUAGCCAUAA